GAUGAACGCUGGCGGCAUGCCUAACACAUGCAAGUCGAACGAAACCAUCGGGAGCUUUCGCCCCUGAGGGUGGCGGGGGACGGAUGCGUAACUCAUGGAUAGCAUACCUCUCAGACUGGGGUGAUAACGCGGGACAAUGUCUUCUAACGGAGAAUAUAUCGCACCGGAUUGUGCACUCGUUCUAGGCGCUUUUGGUGACAGUAAUAGCCGACUCCGCGCCGGAUUAGUUAGUGGGUAAGGUAACGGCUUACCAAGGCAACGACGCGUAGCCGACCUGAGAGGGUGAUCGGCCACACUGGAACUGAGACACGGUCCAGACUCCUACGGGAGGCAGCAGUAGGGAAUCUUCCGCAAUGGGCGAAAGCUUGACGGAGCAACGCCGCGUGAGUGAUGAAGGUCUUCGGAUCGUAAAACUCUGUUGUUAGGAAAGAACAAAAGUGUAUGUAACCAUGCACGUCUUGACGGUACCUAAACAGAAAGCCACGGCUAACUACGUG
rnacentral:rRNA from 1 species